UUCACAGACUUGAACUACAUCUAUGUGAACACAGUGAAAGACAAAGUGAAGACUCAGAGAAGAAUCUACAGACGAACUGGUGUUGCAGUCUCAGACGAGGAGCUGCGGAGGACGUUCCUGCAGCUGGAGGAGGCGGGGCCAGAUCAACAGGGGGAGGAGCCUGUUCACGGCUUCAGACACCCGGACCUGCUGGGUGGAGACGACGACAACUCAGACAACGAACAUGAAGCGUUUCCUGACGACGUUCCCGCUGAGUGCGACGGAGGCGUGGACGUCAUAGCAGCAGACGCUCAGAGAGACGAGCUGAGUUAUGAAGACCUGGUGAAGCUUCGUGUGGAGCAGCUGGUGGUGAACUGUCAAGGUUACACUCAGGAGACGGCUCUGUCUCGACGAGUCAAAGACUGGGAGGACAAGAUCCGACCUGAACUGGAUCUGCAGG